UUCGCCCUUAGAGUUUGAUCCUGGCUCAGAGCGAACGCUGGCGGCAGGCUUAACACAUGCAAGUCGAGCGGGCCCUUCGGGGUCAGCGGCGGACGGGCGAGUAACGCGUGGGAACGUGCCCUCUGGUUCGGAAUAACCCUGGGAAACUAGGGCUAAUACCGGAUACGCCCUUUUGGGGAAAGGUUUACUGCCGGAAGAUCGGCCCGCGUCUGAUUAGCUAGUUGGUGGGGUAACGGCCUACCAAGGCGACGAUCAGUAGCUGGUCUGAGAGGAUGAUCAGCCACACUGGGACUGAGACACGGCCCAGACUCCUACGGGAGGCAGCAG
rnacentral:rRNA from 1 species